GGGAUUGCCCUAGUAACGGCGAGUGAAGCGGCAACAGCUCAAAUUUGAAAUCUGGCGUCUUUGGCGUCCGAGUUGUAAUUUGCAGAGGGCGCUUUGGCAUUGGCAGCGGUCCAAGUUCCUUGGAACAGGACGUCACAGAGGGUGAGAAUCCCGUACGUGGUCGCUAGCCUUUACCGUGUAAAGCCCCUUCGACGAGUCGAGUUGUUUGGGAAUGCAGCUCUAAAUGGGAGGUAAAUUUCUUCUAAAGCUAAAUACUGGCCAGAGACCGAUAGCGCACAAGUAGAGUGAUCGAAAGAUGAAAAGCACUUUGGAAAGAGAGUUAAAAAGCACGUGAAAUUGUUGAAAGGGAAGCGCUUGCAGCCAGACUUGCCUGUAGUUGCUCAUCCGGGUUUUUACCCGGUGCACUCUUCUAUAGGCAGGCCAGCAUCAGUUUGGGCGGUUGGAUAAAGGUCUCUGUCACGUACCUCCUCUCGGGGAGAACUUAUAGGGGAGACGUAAUGCAACCAGCCUGGACUGAGGUCCGCGCAUCUGCUAGGAUGCUGGCGUAAUGGCUGUAAGCGGCCCGUCUUGAAACACGGACCAAGGAGUCUAACAUCUAUGCGAGUGUUUGGGUGUCAAGCCCGAGCGCGUAAUGAAAGUGAACGGAGGUGGGAACCUUUCGGGGUGCACCAUCGACCGAUCCUGAUGUCUUCGGAUGGAUUUGAGUAAGAGCAUAGCUGUUGGGACCCGAAAGAUGGUGAACUAUGCUUGAAUAGGGUGAAGCCAGAGGAAACUCUGGUGGAGGCUCGCAGCGGUUCUGACGUGCAAAUCGAUCGUCAAAUUUGGGCAUAGGGGCGAAAGACUAAUCGAACUAUCUAGUAGCUGGUUCCUGCCGAAGUUUCCCUCAGGAUAGCAGUAACGUUUUCAGUUUUAUGAGGUAAAGCGAAUGAUUAGAGGCCUGGGGGUUGAAACAACCUUCACCUAUUCUCAAACUUUAAAUAUGUAAGAAGUCCUUGUUACUUAAUUGAACGUGGACAGUUGAAUGUAUCGUUACUAGUGGGCCAUUUUUGGUAAGCAGAACUGGCGAUGCGGGAUGAACCGAACGCGGGGUUAAGGUGCCAGAAUAUACGCUCAUCAGACACCACAAAAGGUGUUAGUUCAUCUAGACAGCAGGACGGUGGCCAUGGAAGUCGGAAUCCGCUAAGGAGUGUGUAACAACUCACCUGCCGAAUGAACUAGCCCUGAAAAUGGAUGGCGCUCAAGCGUAUUACCCAUACCCCGCCGCUGGGGCAAGAUUUAAGCCCCAGCGAGUAGGCAGGCGUGGAGGUCCGUGACGAAGCCUGG
rnacentral:rRNA from 1 species